AUUGAACGCUGGCGGCAGGCCUAACACAUGCAAGUCGAACGAGUGGCGGACGGGUGAGUAAUGUCUGGGAAACUGCCCGAUGGAGGGGGAUAACUACUGGAAACGGUAGCUAAUACCGCAUACCAUCGGAUGUGCCCAGAUGGGAUUAGCUAGUAGGUGGGGUAACGGCUCACCUAGGCGACGAUCCCUAGCUGGUCUGAGAGGAUGACCAGCCACACUGUAACUGAGACACGGUCCAGACUCCUACGGGAGGCAGCAGUGGGGAAUAUUGCACAAUGGGCGUAAGCCUGAUGCAGCCAUGCAGCGUGUGUGAAGAAGGCCUUCGGGUUGUAAAGCACUUUCAGCGGGGAGGGGUUACCCGAAGAAGAGGCACCGGCUAACUCCGUGCCAGCAGCCGCGGUAAUUC
rnacentral:rRNA from 1 species